rnacentral:rRNA from 1 species
UACGUAGGGUGCAAGCGUUGUCCGGAAUUAUUGGGCGUAAAGAGCGUGUAGGCGGCCCGAUUAGUCCGCUGUGAAAGUCCAGGGCUCAACCCUGGAAUGCCGGUGGAUACUGUCGGGCUAGAGUCCGGAAGGGGCGAGUGGAAUUCCUGGUGUAGCGGUGAAAAUGCGCAGAUAUCAGGAGGAAUACCAAUGGCGAAGGCAGCUCGCUGGGGCCGGUACUGCGCUGAGGGAGCGAAAAGCUGGGGGG